AGACCACCCCUAGGCCCUCUGCCUAGCGUUGGGGAUCCGCCCAGGCGGUCUCUCAAAGGCCCCAGCGGAGCCGCGGCAGCCACUAAGCGUAGUAGUACCCCUUCCUCGCUUCUGUGGCCGCCCGGGUCCUGCUGUAAAACCCCCGACCCCCCAAG
rnacentral:misc_RNA from 1 species